CAGACAGACAGGUGAGCGGGCAGACAGACAGGUGAGCAGACAGACAGGUGAGCAGACAGACAGGUGAGCAGGCAGACAGACAGGUGGGCAGACAGACAAACAGGUGAGCAGACAGACAGGUGAGCAGACAGACAGGUGGGCAGACAGACAGGUGAGCAGGCAGACAGACAGGUGGGCAGACAGACAGGUGAGCAGACAGACAGGUGAGCAGACAGACAGGUGAGCAGGCAGACAGGUGAGCAGGCAGACAGGUGGGCAGACAGACAGGUGGGCAGA